GGCCUAACAAUGUCUUUUCUCUCGUAAAUCUAUUUUUACAAUUUACUACUGGUACAUCAAUUAGAUUGCAGUACCGGUACCUCAUAUCUACUAAACCAAAUACAUGUAUAAAUCAAAUAUACCCACAUGUUAUGUCAUCCUAUCUACUAUUUAUUAUCUUAGAUAUCAAAAGUUUUACAAAGAAAGUAAAAAAAAAAUCCCCCCCCCCUGUUUGGUUUUAAACAGAUAUUAGUUAAAAUAUUGAUAUGCAGGAAUGUAUCAUUUGUGCAGUACAGUAGUAAGGUAACAUAUUCGGGGGGGGGGGG
rnacentral:lncRNA from 1 species